UUGUCCUGUGAAUAUUCUAGAGAUUUCAACAACUUUCAAUGGAUCCUAGUGCUGCAUUGUCUAUAUCUAUCUAUUUACAUCUUUACUGUACGGUACUGCGCACCUACUGUAUACUGCGUUAGGGCUUUUUCACAGAGAUUCAGAACGGAUAUGUUUGUUUGAGGACAUGUGUCUAAAUCUGGUCCACGUGAAAUCAUUCUGGUGAGAUCUGAGCAGGAAAAAAGCAUGGUCAGUUUGGAAGACUUGCAAGAGGAAUCCGACGCACCGGAGUAGAAAAAGCGUGUUAAUAAUAAUAA